rnacentral:lncRNA from 1 species
UGUGCGUUGCUUAUGUUUGAAAUAGGGAAAGAGAAGGCAACUGCCAUGCAUAUGUUUGUUUUUUUUUUCAAGAAAAAAAGAAGGAAAAAGAAGGCAACGUGGAAAAUUAGUCUUCUAACUUUCCCGCUUGAAAGUUACAUGUUUGUUAUACUAAAAAAAAAUUUAUUAAACAUAUUAAAAAUUUAAAAAAAUUAUAAAAAAUUAUAAAAAAUUAAUAGUAUAUUUUUCU